CAGACGAUCAAAUACUCCAAUAUUCUCUGCACUUUCCACCAUUAAUUGGUAGUACGUCCACCCCAUUUGCAUAGUCUCCAGGACAACCAAAUACUCCAAUUGUUGCUUGCUUUGCAUCGUCCUGAAAUAGGAUCGGUGUUUAAAGUUUGUCUCGACCAAGUCUUCUAUGGAGGAAGAAGUUAACCUAGAUCAACGGAUAAUCAUUGGUUAAUUCCAGAAGAUAUAUUGUGGGGCUAAAAGAUUUUCCUUAAUUUCUAUUGGACGAAAUUUUAAAUGGUGAGGCCAGAAUCAACCAGAGGCUCGGGUUAACCACAACGCUUGAAAAAACUCUAUUUUUAUAUAGAGAAUUUUUUAAAAAUGAGUUAGACGUCCACUUCCAUCUGGUAUUAUGCUAUAGAAUGCACAAAUCAUUCUUGCGGAUAAAAAGAAAUAUCCAAAAAUAGUCGAAGUGCCGAAGGUUUUUCCACGCCCUUUUUGGAUGGCGUAGAAAAUGAAAUUUCUUUCUUUAUUUUGCCACCGGUUUUGUGGUAAGUAGCGUGUUUUAUAUUUUAGACAAGAUAUAUGCGUCGUAUGAAGUGAUGUGCGAGCAACAAGUAGAACUGCAAAAUCUUGCGCGCUUAUAUGCUCCGCUAAUUUUUACGGCAUGUACAAUAUGCGCCUAUUCCUUCAUGAUUGAUGGCUUAACAAUCAUAUUAGCAUCUUUUCCAUCAGAAGACAUCAUGCUUGGAGUAUCCAUAAACGUAUGGGUUUGUGAGAGAAAAUCACAAGUUAAACUCAACAAGCAGUUUUGAGAUAAAAAGAGGUUUCAGGGAAGGAAAAAGGAAUGUAGGGUUACGCAACCUUUUAACAGGUUCAUGCACACACAACUCUGAACCCUGGAGAGAGUAUAAUUGUACAAAAUAACCCUUUCUUUUAUUGAUAGACAAGGAAGAACAAAAACUAAGAAAAAAAGAAAAAAAGACUUUUCCUAAAACCUGAGAGGUACACAAACUUGUCUCUUUUGAUCAGGUACAUGAGACAAGAUUUACAAAUCAACACAAUCAAGUUGUGUUGCGGUGAACAACAAUUUAUCCACCAUGCUCCUCUUGAGAG